rnacentral:tRNA from 1 species
AGUAAAGUACCUUAUUUAAGGGAGUGCCUUGAUGCGGCAAACAUGUUUAUAACCUUUACUU